CACAAGCCUAUAAAUGUUUGCUGUCUUUUAUCUUAGAUCUUUUAGUUUGCGGUUGAUACACACAUGCUUCUGCAAGGCAUCUGUCUUUUAUAAGGUGUAUGAGGCCUUUAUUCUGGAUUUCCAUGGCCAGGAGAAAUGGCUCCGUGCAGGAAUAAUACAUCAUCAGACUGACCUAGUUUGCAGGACCGCGGGUGCUCGGGAAGGAUAAUUAUCUUCCCUGAAUCAUUUCCAUCAAUGCAUCAGUCAAUCAAUCUUCACCAACACCACACGCCAUCAGCAACUCCAUUUUGUUGUUUCUUCUAAUGGAAACGGCUCUCCAUGAGAGUUCAGAUGAGUGCGAGUGAUGAACGAGGACACAGUUUGGUGAGAAUUGUAAAGUAAAGUCAGCUACAGCAUCACUUGGAUCUCAAGUCAGAGUAAAGUUGGCCAGUUUUGAGUGAGGUUAGCUCUCACCAGCACCAUUUUGGUGUAAAAGUGCAUGCAGUUUGAGUGUGCACACACACAUAAAUGGAGGAGUACAGAACAAACACAUCUCCUGGAUCCUGAGCACCAAAAACUACACUCAUCAUUUAUCAGCUAGCUAAAUGCCUGCCCAAACCAUUACCCUCCCCAAAGCAGCCAGCAGGAUGGGGAGGGGAGGAGAGGAGAGGGGCGCUGCGCUGGGUGAAUUAAACUUUUGAGGGUUCAGCGCUUUCCCACUUUGGCGAUUCAUCUUUCCUCUCACCCAGGAAGUGCACACCCAGCAGGAGAGUGAGGACUCUCUCUCGCUCUCUCUCUCUCUCUCACACACACAUAUUUUAGGACACCAGUCCCUGGUUCCCUCGUCCCCCAUCCGUACACAAUGUCCUUCGGCUCUUGCAGGCGCAUCAUGUGCCGCCGGAGCGGACAGAUGAAGAAGAGGAUAUUAAGUGACUCUAUCUAACAUCCAGGACACAAUGGCGGUGAUUGAUGGAGGACAAAGUAGGAACAGCAGGACGGAGGAUGGGGAGGGGGGUGUCCGUUGGGGGUCUCUGUCGAGAGCUGGUGCGCCGUCCCCGUCCGCCGUGUUUACUCACUGAUGCUCUCGACAAGACAGCCAUUGACACUCGGAUGGAUGAGUCCCGAUCCGCCGCACGGAGCCAGAGGUUACCGGGGCUGGAAUAUAGAGCUCCUCCAUGACACGCUCCCUUCACCUAAUCUUCCGGCAAAAUAUUUAUCAUUAUCAAUUGGGGCCUGCUCUCUGACAUUAGAAUACCACGUAUGGAUAAACCUCGGGAGGAUUAUCGAUCCGCCCGACAGCAGGCUCACACAGGCGGCCGUGAAAGACUUGGGGUCAUACGGGACAAUACGAAUAAAAGCAUGGUAUAUCCAGCACUCCGCUCGGGUUUAUUAAGUAAAACAAUGAGCCAAAUCACACCUCCGUGACAUACGUACGCAGCCCACAAAUGCUUCUGGAGGAAGGCAGCGCUGCACAUUUACUUUUUUUACACACUGGUUUACACUACCAGUCAAAAAUUUUGUUCAAAAAUUUAUUUUUUUAUGUUUUUGAAAGAAGUCUCUAUGGUGCACCCUGUAAA